rnacentral:rRNA from 1 species
UACGAAGGGGCUAGCGUUGUUCGGAAUUACUGGGCGUAAAGCGCGCGCAGGCGGUCUUUCAAGUCAGUGGUGAAAGCCUGGAGCUCAACUCCAGAACUGCCAUUGAAACUGCAAGACUUGAGUACGAGAGAGGUGAGUGGAAUUCCCAGUGUAGAGGUGAAAUUCGUAGAUAUUGGGAAGAACACCGGUGGCGAAGGCGGCUCACUGGCUCGUAACUGACGCUCAGGCGCGACAGCGUGGGGAUCGAAACAGG